rnacentral:rRNA from 1 species
AGGAGAGCGUUCUAAGGGCGUUGAAGCAUGAUCGUAAGGACAUGUGGAGCGCUUAGAAGUGAGAAUGCCGGUGUGAGUAGCGAAAGACGGGUGAGAAUCCCGUCCACCGAUUGACUAAGGUUUCCAGAGGAAGGCUCGUCCGCUCUGGGUUAGUCGGGUCCUAAGCUGAGGCCGACAGGCGUAGGCGAUGGAUAACAGGUUGAUAUUCCUGUACCACCUAUAAUCGUUUUAAUCGAUGGGGGGACGCAGUAGGAUAGGCGAAGCGUGCGAUUGGAUUGCACGUCUAAGCAGUAAGGCUGAGUAUUAGGCAAAUCCGGUACUCGUUAAGGCUGAGCUGUGAUGGGGAGAAGACAUUGUGUCUUCGAGUCGUUGAUUUCACACUGCCGAGAAAAGCCUCUAGAUAGAAAAUAGGUGCCCGUACCGCAAACCGACACAGGUAGUCAAGAUGAGAAUUCUAAGGUGAGCGAGCGAACUCUCGUUAAGGAACUCGGCAAAAUGACCCCGUAACUUCGGGAGAAGGGGUGCUCUUUAGGGUUAACGCCCAGAAGAGCCGCAGUGAAUAGGCCCAAGCGACUGUUUAUCAAAAACACAGGUCUCUGCUAAACCGUAAGGUGAUGUAUAGGGGCUGACGCCUGCCCGGUGCUGGAAGGUUAAGAGGAGUGGUUAGCUUCUGCGAAGCUACGAAUCGAAGCCCCAGUAAACGGCGGCCGUAACUAUAACGGUCCUAAGGUAGCGAAAUUCCUUGUCGGGUAAGUUCCGACCCGCACGAAAGGCGUAACGAUUUGGGCACUGUCUCAACGAGAGACUCGGUGAAAUCAUAGUACCUGUGAAGAUGCAGGUUACCCGCGACAGGACGGAAAGACCCCGUGGAGCUUUACUGUAGCCUGAUAUUGAAAUUCGGCACAGCUUGUACAGGAUAGGUAGGAGCCUUUGAAACGUGAGCGCUAGCUUACGUGGAGGCGCUGGUGGGAUACUACCCUAGCUGUGUUGGCUUUCUAACCCGCACCACUUAUCGUGGUGGGAGACAGUGUCA